AUUGAACGCUGGUGGUAUGCUUAACACAUGCAAGUCGAACGGGUUCGGAAGACAGAAUACAGAUGACAGAGUACAGAUGGUUGAAUGCGGCGAGCUGCAUAGAUGAUAUUUAGAGAUAAAUAUUUAGAAUCUAUCACGGAGAGCGAUUCGACUACUGUCUUCAGUCUUCUGUUAUCUGUCUUCUGGCUAGUGGCGGACGGGUGAGUAACGCGUAGGAAUCUGCCGUACAGUGGGGGACAACAGUUGGAAACGACUGCUAAUACCGCAUGAUACCUUCGGGUCAAAGGUUGCUUAGGCAGUCGCUGUACGAUGAGCCUGCGUUGGAUUAGUUAGUUGGUUGGGUAAAGGCUGACCAAGGCGAUGAUCCAUAGCUGUUCUGAGAGGAAGAUCAGCCACACUGGGACUGAGACACGGCCCAG
rnacentral:rRNA from 1 species